UACGUAGGUGGCAAGCGUUGUCCGGAAUUACUGGGCGUAAAGCGCGCGUAGGUGGUUCAGUAAGUUGGAAGUGAAAUCCCCGGGCUCAACCUGGGAACUGCUUUCAAAACUGCUGAGCUAGAGUAUGGCAGUGGGUGGUGGAAUUUCCUGUGUAGCGGUGAAAUGCGUAGAGAUAGGAAGGAACACCAGUGGCGGAGGCGACCACCUGGGCUACUACUGACACUGAGGUGCGAAAGCGUGGGGAGCAAACAGG
rnacentral:rRNA from 1 species